rnacentral:rRNA from 1 species
AACGUAGGAGACAAACGUUAUCCGGAGUUACUGGGCGUAAAGGGCGUGUAGGUGGUUUCGUAAGUCUGGCGUGAAAUUUUUCGGCUUAACCGGGAAAGGUCGUCGGAUACUGCGGAACUAGAGGACGGUAGAGGCGUGUGGAAUUCCGGGUGUAGUGGUGAAAUGCGUAGAGAUCCGGAGGAACACCAGUGGCGAAGGCGACACGCUGGGCCGUACCUGACACUGAUGCGCGACAGCAUGGGGAGCAAACAGA